ACGUAGGAGGCGAGCGUUAUCCGGAUUUACUGGGCGUAAAGCGCGUGCAGGCGGUUCAAUAAGUUGGAUGUGAAAGCUCCCGGCUAAACUGGGAGAGGACGUUCAAGACUGUUGGGCUAGAGGAUGAGAGAGGGAAGUGGAAUUCCGAGUGUAGUGGUGAAAUGCGUAGAUAUUCGGAGGAACACCAGUGGCGAAAGCGGCUUCCUGGCUCAUAACUGACGCUCAGACGCGAAAGCUAGGGUAGCAAACGG
rnacentral:rRNA from 1 species